rnacentral:rRNA from 1 species
AUUGAACGCUGGCGGCAGGCUUAACACAUGCAAGUCGAGCGGAGAUGAGGUGCUUGCACCUUAUCUUAGCGGCGGACGGGUGAGUAAUGCUUAGGAAUCUGCCUAUUAGUGGGGGACAACAUUCCGAAAGGAAUGCUAAUACCGCAUACGUCCUACGGGAGAAAGCAGGGGAUCUUCGGACCUUGCGCUAAUAGAUGAGCCUAAGUCGGAUUAGCUAGUUGGUGGGUUAAAGGCCUACCAAGGCGACGAUCUGUAGCGGGUCUGAGAGGAUGAUCCGCCACACUGGGACUGAGACACGGCCCAGACUCCUACGGGAGGCAGCAGUGGGGAAUAUUGGACAAUGGGGGGAACCCUGAUCCAGCCAUGCCGCGUGUGUGAAGAAGGCCUUAUGGUUGUAAAGCACUUUAAGCGAGGAGGAGGCUACUGAGACUAAUACUCUUGGAUAGUGGACGUUACUCGCAGAAUAAGCACCGGCUAACUCUGUGCCAGCAGCCGCAGUAACAC